GCACACGGUAUACUAGUCGGUCAGACCCUGACACCCUGACAAUGGUCCACAGCCACAAAUCUGCAAAGAAUGACUAGAUUAUGGUAAAUAUUGCAGACAAUGUGACACACCAGACAAGUCCUGAUACCCCUGACAAGCCUAACAAGUCCUGACACCCCUGACAAGCCCUGACACCCCUGACAAGUCCUGACACCCCUGACAAGCCUAACAAGUCCUGACACCCCUGACAAGCCUAACAAGUCCUGACACCCCUGACAAGCCUAACAAGUCCUGACACCCCUGACAAGUCCUGACACCCCUGACAAGCCUAACAAGUCCUGACAACCCUAACAAGUCCUGACAAGUCCUGACACCCCUGACAAGCCUAACAAGUCCUGACACCCCUAACAAGUCCUGACACCCCUGACAAGUCCUGACACCCCUGACAAGCCCUGACACCCCUGACAAGCCUAACAAGUCCUGACAACCCUAACAAGUCCUGACACCCCUGACAAGUCCUGACACCCCUGACAAGCCUAACAAGUCCUGACACCCCUAACAAGUCCUGACACCCCUGACAAGUCCUGACACCCCUGACAAGCCUAACAAGUCCUGACACCCCUGACAAGUCCUGACAUCCCUGACAAGCCUAACAAGUCCUGACACCCCUGACAAGCCCUGACACCCCUGACAAGCCUAACAAGUCCUGACAAGACCUCUUCUCUUACACUCUUCGACACAAUCGUCCGAAUUAUGUGGGUAUAUCGUAUUAGACCUACAAUUUCAAAUUAUUAUACUAAAUAUUAGACCUAAAUAUCUUAACGAUUGCAGUUUGCAAGUUUGCAGCGUAUCUUGCACGCUAAUUUUUAUUACUGACUUGAUUGUUCAAAUACAUGGCCUCUUUAUUAUGUACAGAUCUAGAUCUUUUGGAGCCACAGAAUUGAACCGACGAAACUCGUUUGACCAUAUGUCUCGGCUGACUGAAGCCAAUCACAUCAUCAACUGCGGAUUCAGUAUCAUACGGCAUGUUCUUAUGCAUGUGGUAGGGGUUGGGUUUUUGCAUCAUGUUACUGAAACUACUUGCAUAAUGACCACUGACAUUAUGUGGGUCAUGAAGAGAUAAAAUGGGAACUGCGAUUUGCUUUAUUUUUUGACGGGACCGGGAACGACAGACACAUUUUGGUGUAACAAUAUUUAAUUUGUUAUUAGCUGAUCUAGUGCUAUAUUUAUGAACUGUAUUUACAUAAGUGAAAUAAGAUUCAAAGUAUUGUGGACAAAUGCCAUGACUUAUAGCAUAAAAAGUUUAUUAGUUGUAAUAAUAUCGUCAAUUGGUAGCCAUUCUAAACAAUUGAAAAGAUUAAUUGAAUUUGCAGUUGUAUUGGCAUCGAGUAUAAUUCUUGCA
rnacentral:lncRNA from 1 species